GAUGAACGCUAGCGGCAGGCUUAAUACAUGCAAGUCGAGGGACAGCACAGGUAGCAAUACUGGGUGGUAACCGGCAAACGGGUGCGGAACACGUACACAACCUUCCUUUAAGUGGGGGAUAGCCCAGAGAAAUUUGGAUUAAUACCCCGUAAUAUAGUUGAAUGGCAUCAUUUGAUUAUUAUAGCUACGGCGCUUAAUGAUGGGUGUGCGGCUGAUUAGAUAGUUGGCGGGGUAACGGCCCACCAAGUCUACGAUCAGUAGCUGAUGUGAGCGGAGGAGCGGCCACACGGGCACGGAGACACGGGCCGGAAUCUUACGGGAGGCAGAAGUAAGGAAUAUUGGGCAAAGGACGCAAGUCUGAACCAGCCAUGCCGCGUGAAGGAAUAAGGUACUCUGGAUUGUAAACUUCUUUUAUUUGGGACGAAAAAGGGCCUUUCUAGGUCAACUGACGGUACCAGAUGAAUAAGCACCGGCUAACUCCGAGCCAGCCGCCGCCGUAACAC
rnacentral:rRNA from 1 species